GACUUUUAAGGAGGCGAAAGAGCCAGCUGCAGAAAGCCAACAAGAGGGGUGUUUAAUGCAAAGAAAAUCAUAAACCGAUCCCUAGCUGGAAAUGAUCCUAACCUGUGGAAGCUCCUGAAUUGAGUGAGGGACCGGCCGGCAGGAGAGGCUGCUGUGCAGUGGUGCAAUCUCAGCUAAAUACAACCUCCACCUCCUAGAUUCAAGCAAUUCUCCUGCCUCAGCCUCCCAAGUAGCUGGGAACACAGCAUAACCCAGCUCAUCCUGACUGAUGCCACCAUUUCCAGAUAAGAGAAAUGCGACUGAGAAAGAUUAAGAUAUUUUCUUAAGAUUGGACAUUAUGUUCCUACCCACUGUGCUUGCCUUAUAGUUGAAAGAGAGUUUAUUUAAGCACAGAGAUCAAGCAAGAGUGGAGCACAGGACACACUUUCAGGUUGCCUUGGGGACUGCUCUGUAGAACAAAAAAUCAAACUCAAGAUUUUAAGGAAAACAAGUACAAGUGAAGAGAAGGCAUGAUUACCAAAGUUGUUGAUCUAAUUCUCAUUGAUUUACAGAAAUAACAGUGGCUAACGAUCAGCUAUACAUUGUUGAAUUAUAGGAUGUAUGGCAUUUAAAAAUGUAUUUAUUUAAAACUAAUUUUUUUUAGAUUUUUGAUGGAUUUAGGGGUACAGGUGCAGUUGUGUUACAUGGAUAUAUUUUGUAGAGAUGAAAUCUGGGCUUUUAUGUACAACUACCCAAAUAAGAUACAUUGUACCCAAUAGGCAGCAUUUCACUUUCACCCUCAUUCUAUCCUCCCACUG
rnacentral:lncRNA from 10 species